AUUGAACGCUGGCGGCAUGCCUUACACAUGCAAGUCGAACGGUAACGGGCCUUCGGGUGCCGACGAGUGGCGAACGGGUGAGUAAUACAUCGGAACGUGCCCGAUCGUGGGGGAUAACGAGGCGAAAGCUUUGCUAAUACCGCAUACGAUCUACGGAUGAAAGCAGGGGACCGCAAGGCCUUGCGCGGACGGAGCGGCCGAUGGCAGAUUAGGUAGUUGGUGGGAUAAAAGCUUACCAAGCCGACGAUCUGUAGCUGGCCUGAGAGGAUGAUCAGCCACACUGGGACUGAGACACGGCCCAGACUCCUACGGGAGGCAGCAGUGGGGAAUUUUGGACAAUGGGCGUAAGCCUGAUCCAGCCAUGCCGCGUGCAGGAUGAAGGCCUUCGGGUUGUAAACUGCUUUUGUACGGAACGAAAAGCCUUCUUUUAAUACAGGAGGGUCAUGACGGUACCGUAAGAAUAAGCACCGGCUAACUACGUG
rnacentral:rRNA from 1 species